rnacentral:lncRNA from 1 species
CUGACUCAUGCGCCCCUGUUGUACCUGUUGUGCAUCCUACCUGUAAUACCCCAAAAUUUACCCUUCAUUUUUCCUGGAAGCAUACGCUUUACACCUCAUGCAUGCAUUCAUUUUUAGGUCAUUUAGCAUUUGCAUUUCAUCAUGGCAAUCGAAAUCGGAUCCAAGAAGCUUGAACAUCAUCCAGGACACUUUGUGGGCUCUAUUUAGAUGAUCAGUCAACACAAGGGAAAGACUUG